rnacentral:rRNA from 1 species
GACGGAGGAUGCAAGUGUUAUCCGGAAUCACUGGGCGUAAAGCGUCUGUAGGUGGUUCAAUAAGUCAACUGUUAAAUCUUGAGGCUCAACUUCAAAAUCGCAGUCGAAACUAUUAAACUAGAGUAUAGUAGGGGUAAAGGGAAUUUCCGGUGGAGCGGUGAAAUGCGUAGAGAUCGGAAAGAACACCAACGGCGAAAGCACUCUGCUGGGCCGACACUGACACUGAGAGACGAAAGCUAGGGGAGCGAAUGGG